ACCAUUGAGGACCUGCGGGACAAGAUUCUUGGUGCCACCAUUGAGAACUCCAGGAUUGUCCUGCACAUCAACAAU
ncrna:Pongo pygmaeus (Bornean orangutan) microRNA ppy-mir-492 precursor